rnacentral:rRNA from 1 species
UACGUAGGGGGGCUAGCGUUUGUCCGGAAUCAUUGGGCGUAAAGAGCGUGUAGGCGGCCCGGUAAGUCCGCUGUAAAAGUCAAAGGCUCAACCUUUUGAAUGUCAGUGGAUACUGCCGGGCUAGAGUCCGGAAGAGGCGAGUGGAACUCCUGGUGUAGCGGUGGAAUGCGCAGAUAUCAGGAAGAACACCAACGGCGAAGGCAGCUCGCUGGGACGGUACUGACGCUGAGACGCGAAAGCGUGGGGAGCGAACAGG